CCAAAUUUAAAUUUUCUUUUACAAAGAGAAUCAAAGUUUAUAAAAACUAUUUGGA
rnacentral:tRNA from 1 species